CCUACGGGGGGCAGCAGUGGGGAAUAUUGCACAAUGGGCGCAAGCCUGAUGCAGCCAUGCCGCGUGUGUGAAGAAGGCCUUCGGGUUGUAAAGCACUUUCAGUGGGGAGGAAGGCGUUAAGGUUAAUAACCUUGGCGAUUGACGUUACCCGCAGAAGAAGCACCGGCUAACUCCGUGCCAGCAGCCGCGGUAAUACGGAGGGUGCAAGCGUUAAUCGGAAUUACUGGGCGUAAAGCGCACGCAGGCGGUCUGUCAAGUCGGAUGUGAAAUCCCCGGGCUCAACCUGGGAACUGCAUUCGAAACUGGCAGGCUAGAGUCUUGUAGAGGGGGGUAGAAUUCCAGGUGUAGCGGUGAAAUGCGUAGAGAUCUGGAGGAAUACCGGUGGCGAAGGCGGCCCCCUGGACAAAGACUGACGCUCAGGUGCGAAAGCGUGGGGAGCAAACAGGAUUAGAUACCGAGUAGUC
rnacentral:rRNA from 1 species